rnacentral:piRNA from 1 species
UAUUACAUGGAAGUCAAACAGAAACUUGAAGC